GUCUGGAGAAUAAAACAGAUGCAAUUCAAUGGAACCGAAAAUCGUUCGGCUAAAUAAAAUGAUGGUAUAUCAAAAAAUACAUUAAGAAUUCAACCAAAGUAGUCGUUUCUCAAGUUUUCCAGAUCAAACACCUAGUUUUAUAAUAACACUCAUAAUUCCAUCAAAUAUACAGGCGAGAAGUUGCAAAGCGUUACUCUAAAGUAAUCGCAAAAAUACAAUAUACAUGUAGAUCUGUAAGAGAGACCUUGAAUUUGAGAGAAACAGAUGUACUGAGGAAACAAACACAGAAAGAAAAAGUAAUAAAAAUAUUGCAAGCUGCUCAAAACAACAUUCUAUGCUCUCCGGUACUUUCAACACCAACCAUAGAAAUGUCACGAGAUUAUUCCAAAGUUGUGGCUGUGUGGAACAUAUGUCGCUUGGAUAAAGCUACGGAUCGUCGCUGCAUCUGAAACUUCUAAUUACAUCUAUUAGCCCACUACAUUACUCAGAUCUGUGCAACGUAUGAAACUCAAAAUGAUAAUCCACAUCUGUAUUAUAAUACAUCCCAUAGAAUCGAUAAUUCUUCAGACAUGAUACUGCGCGCUGUUACAGUAUUAGGUAAAUCAAUAAGCUUCUGGACACAAGAAACCACGUGUUCAAACUGAUACCAUUUGCAUAACCUGAAAUUGCUCUGAGGCGAUGAAUUCAGAAUCGAACAACGGUGUAGCAUGGUGGGAGCCAGUGGGAAAUGCCAAACGACAGUUUUGUAAAAUUGUUGUUUGAUUACGAACGAAUUGGACGAUUGAAUUGAGAAAUUUAAUUGCAAUUCGAAGCGAAAUAGCUGUUUAUGGUCAAUAAAAAUAACACAUUGUAGUACACACGAGCUGAAUUUGGCAAGCUGCGGCCUUUGAAAGAAACAUAAAAAAAAAAAACACGUUUACUCGUUUAGUAGAAAAAAGU
rnacentral:lncRNA from 1 species